CAUGACCUACGGACCUCGAAUUCAACAUCCGAACACGCUCCUAAGAUCAAAAUCACCAUACAUAGCUAUUGGAACCACCGAAAGUUCAUUAUGAGGCUGUUUUCACACAGUUCAAAUUACUGUCAAUUUCUACAACUUAAACUCCCAAAUUUAGGGACUCUAUGUCCCAUUUCACUCUAAAAUCAAAAACAAAUCCUCCCGGCAAGUUACGUAACCACAAAAUGAAUAGAGAGAGAAAUAAAUAGGGGGUUCGGGGCUAAUACUCUCAAAACGACCGGCCGGAUUGUUACAGAUGCAGACCUCCUUAUAAUAUAUUUGAUCUCAAAGAAAAUCGGGCAGUACUCUGGGUCGAUAUCACGAGGAACGUACGACUUCUUUUGAUAUCUCCUACUGGUUUCCUUAAUCGAGGGAAACAAUCGAGGGCUAAAUGCUGAUUUUCUUGAAUUAUUUGAUUGUCAAAAAAUGUCUAACCACAUUUUGAGUUGAUCUUGAGAAAGAACGUCUCUUGAUUAUUUUUGCUUUGAGAAAGGCAAUAUUUGAAGUCUUGAUCUAUUUGUGAAUAUCCCAACAGUAUAUGGGAUUUUUCGAGGUAAGCAUACUCUAUUCAUGUGCCUAAAUUACAGUAUAACUACUUUCGAUAUAUAGCAAAUUGAUUUUGUAUAAAUCAUCUCUCAUUGUAUUUUUUAUUUGAAGCAAGUUAUUUUAUACUGCAAUAGUUAAAUACAAAAAAAUAGAAAUAGAACUCAUAUGGAUAUCUUAGGAAUGAUCUAGCAUCAGUCUAACAAAUGUUUUCAAUAUUUCACCACUACCUUAGAUACUGAAAAGCAAUAUCCAGGGUAUUGAUUGCCAAAUAUUUGCAAACACUAAAACGUGAAUAAGCAACAGUAUUACUUAUGAGCAAAUGGAGCCUACUUAAAUUAUUUGGUCACCAAUAAUAUAUGUGUCAAAAAUCUAAUUGGGGCCUCCUCCUAUUUGUUUAUGAUUAUUGUACCUCUCUCAUCAAUCCUACAAAAGUGUGUGAAUUAUGUUGAAGCUUGACAAUAACUUGUUACCUGCAAUAUGAUUUUAUAAUAGCUUGACCUGUCUAUAUAAGCUCAUAAUAUGCUUCAAGUAAAGAACAAUAACAAUAGCUUCUGAGCCAUACAUAUUCCUAGUGAAGUGACCAUGAAAUCGCCUGUUACUCUAAUCCUGCUCUUUGCACUUGCCCUGGUUUAGAUAGAAAAACGGGUAGAGCUCCUCAGUAGGUGUUGCUCGAGUUCAGCUUGAUCGAUGACGGUGACUAAGAAGACUACGGCUUGCCAGAGGAGAGAUACAACAGCAGGUGAGGGGACCAGCAGGGUACACCUAGUAGAUGGGGCCCAGUCUAAGGCCCAUGGCGAGACCCUUACUCAGCCAUUACCGGCUCUUCCACCACCUAAGGAGAUUCCUAAGGAUACCGUACAUCCAGUUCCCCCUCCACUUCCAUCAGAUCAGGACUUGAGGAGUGCGGUGCAUUUGUUGACACAGUUGGUAGCU